UACGUAGGUGGCAAGCGUUUGUCCGGAAUUAUUGGGCGUAAAGCGCGCGCAGGCGGUCCUUUAAGUCUGAUGUGAAAGCCCACGGCUCAACCGUGGAGGGUCAUUGGAAACUGGAGGACUUGAGUACAGAAGAGGAAAGCGGAAUUCCACGUGUAGCGGUGAAAUGCGUAGAGAUGUGGAGGAACACCAGUGGCGAAGGCGGCUUUCUGGUCUGUAACUGACGCUGAGGCGCGAAAGCGUGGGGAGCAAACAGGA
rnacentral:rRNA from 1 species